rnacentral:lncRNA from 14 species
AAAAAAUCCACUGCAAUGGCAGUGUGAAAAAAUCAGUAAGACUUAUUUGUUCACACUGCAGCUGCUACUCUCAAGGACAUCACUUUUCAGACACUUGCAGACAGCUUCAUUAGGAAAUGAACAAGCAGACCAUGAGGUGUCUGAUGUCCAAAGAGCGGUGCCUGUUAACACUGACAACUUAAAUGGAUACAGGAGUAAUUUCUAACUGUGUUUCUUUUUUCCUCAGAGGAUUUUAACUGGUAACACUGUGGUUAAAGCUUAGAGAUCACAUUCUCUCAGUGGAAUGUGUGGGUAACUUUGAGCAUGGGUUAUGGAGCUGUUUUCUGAAGCUGGCUGUGCUUUGGGACGAAUGCUUUACCUAUACAACAUGAAUCCCAAGGAGUUUGUCAGCUUGAGACAGAAGGGAAGAAGGAGAUCCCUGGAGCCGGUGCUGCAAUAUGUAGUCUGGUCUUCUUUCAUCUCAAACACCUGCCUUUAUGAUUGGAGUCAUGAACAGUCUCCAAAUUGAGGUGAAGUUGUCAAGAGCCUAGAAGUGGGAAGGAGAAAUUACAGCCUCUGUUAUAAUGAGAGGCAUUACAUUUGCAUAUAUAUGUAAGGCUUCAUUGCCAC